UACAGAGGGGGCAAGCGUUAUUCGGAAUUAUUGGGCGUAAAGGGCGCGUAGGCGGCUUGGCAAGUGGAUGGUGAAAUCCCUCGGCUUAACCGAGGAACUGCCGUCCAAACUGCUUAGCUUGAGACCGGGAGAGGUGAGUGGAAUUCCCAGUGUAGCGGUGAAAUGCGUAGAUAUUGGGAGGAACACCAGUGGCGAAGGCGGCUCACUGGACCGGUACUGACGCUGAUGCGCGAAAGCGUGGGGAGCAAACGGGG
rnacentral:rRNA from 1 species